rnacentral:lncRNA from 1 species
GACAACCACAGCACAUUGUGGUGGAGAGGACAAAUGUCUCUUCUCUUUGGCGUUCUUAUGAACAAGAGUUUAUACAGUACUAAAAAGGCCAGGGUUGCAGUGCAGAGUUAGUAUUAAAGGAAUGGAAGAGAAAAGAGAUGUUACCAAAGAAAUGCAAGCUCUGACCAGAUGCUCUGAAACAAGAGGACAUCCACCAGCAGCUCAGAAUAAAGCAAUGGACUAUCAACCACACCAGAGGAGGUGGGAGUAAUAUCUGAAUCUCAGAAAGAACUCAGCAUACACUCAAGGAGGCAACAUGGAUGGUUGGGCAGAAGGGCAAUGAUCUGACAGUGAUCUAAGUAACUUUCCUAUUGAAAGCAGAUUGUCCUUCAGAUUUCAUGUUCAGGGGCCAAAACCAUAAACAAAAACACAACAAAGGUCUUCAGUGGGGGUAUGCCUUACUCCUUGAGAAUAUUUUUUUGAGAAGCCCACACCCAUGCUCUCAGAUGUGUCUUCUCAGGGCUUCCCCCGACCGCCUUGUAUAAACCAUCAUUAAAAUAUCUAUAUUGAACUGCAGCUGUUGUGAACAUAAUGUCAAAGCAUGUGCUAAACCACCUGUAGACUAACAGUAGUCUGUCUACAGGUAGACUGGAGGUGAAAUGGGAGCAAACCUGGUCUUAAAACUUCUGGCUCCCAUAUCAUAAGAAAGGAAGUAUCUUUAAUUCUUUUAAUCUACGUGGCUGGUAGUAUCUUGUUACACGUUUCGUGAUCACAGUCCCAUCAGACUAGUGUAUUACCUUCAGAAUGAAGAUUGAUGAAGAACUUGAGAAACUCUAUGGAUGAGCAUUGUGGAGAGAAGCUCCCUGACAAAAUGUGCCUUUCCCCGAGUAGCUCAAAACUGUUGGGAAGAGCUGGAAAUUAAAAUACAUGGACAACCAUCAGCCCUGCAUGAGCUUUUCUGCAGUCACAAUUUUCCUGACUAUUUAAGAUUGAACAGACUUUGGGCUACAGAGUUGUUGGCUCGUCAGUUAAGAGCAUAUGCUUUUGGGAAGGACCUGGGUUUGAUUUUCAGCACCUAUAUGGAGGCUCACCACCUUCACAGGCACCGGGCAUGCGUGUGGUGCGCAGACUUAUACACAGGUGCACAUUUAUACACUCAAUAUAAUAAAAUCUUUAAAAAAAUAAUUUAAAAACUUAAA